rnacentral:lncRNA from 1 species
GAUUGCGUCCCUCCUCACCUUGUUCGCUGCCUCGAUGUGGGCGAGGAGCUGAUGCCAGGUCUGCAAGGGUGGCCAGGAGGUCAGAAUGAAAGUUGAGAAGUUAAUUGAAUGAAGGAGCAAGGGGAAGAAGGAAAGUGAAUCUGCUUACCUCGAGAAAGGACCCUAGAGAGUCCCAAACCCACUGCUCAGGGUCGGUGCGAACGAUCCUCUGGAUGACUUCGGGCA